CACACGACUCUCGGCAACGGAUAUCUCGGCUCUCGCAUCGAUGAAGAACGUAGCGAAAUGCGAUACCUGGUGUGAAUUGCAGAAUCCCGCGAACCAUCGAGUCUUUGAACGCAAGUUGCGCCCGAGGCCAUUCGGCUAAGGGCACGCCUGCCUGGGCGUCACG
rnacentral:rRNA from 3 species